AUUCACAUGGAACGAGUGGCGGACGGGUGAGUAACACGUGGGUAACCUGCCCUUAAGUGGGGGAUAACAUUUGGAAACAGAUGCUAAUACCGCAUAGAUCCAAGAACCGCAUGGUUCUUGGCUGAAAGAUGGCGUAAGCUAUCGCUUUUGGAUGGACCCGCGGCGUAUUAGCUAGUUGGUGAGGUAAUGGCUCACCAAGGCGAUGAUACGUAGCCGAACUGAGAGGUUGAUCGGCCACAUUGGGACUGAGACACGGCCCAAACUCCUACGGGAGGCAGCAGUAGGGAAUCUUCCACAAUGGACGCAAGUCUGAUGGAGCAACGCCGCGUGAGUGAAGAAGGCUUUCGGGUCGUAAAACUCUGUUGUUGGAGAAGAAUGGUCGGCAGAGUAACUGUUGUCGGCGUGACGGUAUCCAACCAGAAAGCCACGGCUAACUACGUGCCAGCAGCCGCGGUAAUACGUAGGUGGCAAGCGUUAUCCGGAUUUAUUGGGCGUAAAGCGAGCGCAGGCGGUUUUUUAAGUCUGAUGUGAAAGCCCUCGGCUUAACCGAGGAAGCGCAUCGGAAACUGGGAAACUUGAGUGCAGAAGAGGACAGUGGAACUCCAUGUGUAGCGGUGAAAUGCGUAGAUAUAUGGAAGAACACCAGUGGCGAAGGCGGCUGUCUGGUCUGUAACUGACGCUGAGGCUCGAAAGCAUGGGUAGCGAACAGGAUUAGAUACCCUGGUAGUCCAUGCCGUAAACGAUGAAUGCUAGGUGUUGGAGGGUUUCCGCCCUUCAGUGCCGCAGCUAACGCAUUAAGCAUUCCGCCUGGGGAGUACGACCGCAAGGUUGAAACUCAAAGGAAUUGACGGGGGCCCGCACAAGCGGUGGAGCAUGUGGUUUAAUUCGAAGCAACGCGAAGAACCUUACCAGGUCUUGACAUCUUUUGAUCACCUGAGAGAUCAGGUUUCCCCUUCGGGGGCAAAAUGACAGGUGGUGCAUGGUUGUCGUCAGCUCGUGUCGUGAGAUGUUGGGUUAAGUCCCGCAACGAGCGCAACCCUUAUGACUAGUUGCCAGCAUUUAGUUGGGCACUCUAGUAAGACUGCCGGUGACAAACCGGAGGAAGGUGGGGAUGACGUCAAAUCAUCAUGCCCCUUAUGACCUGGGCUACACACGUGCUACAAUGGAUGGUACAACGAGUUGCGAGACCGCGAGGUCAAGCUAAUCUCUUAAAGCCAUUCUCAGUUCGGACUGUAGGCUGCAACUCGCCUACACGAAGUCGGAAUCGCUAGUAAUCG
rnacentral:rRNA from 1 species